GUUGUGCCCUUGAGGCGUGGCUUCCGGAGCUAACGCGUUAAAUCGACCGCCUGGGGAGUACGGCCGCAAGGUUAAAACUCAAAUGAAUUGACGGGGGCCCGCACAAGCGGUGGAGCAUGUGGUUUAAUUCGAUGCAACGCGAAGAACCUUACCUACUCUUGACAUCCAGAGAAUUCGCUAGAGAUAGCUUAGUGCCUUCGGGAACUCUGAGACAGGUGCUGCAUGGCUGUCGUCAGCUCGUGUUGUGAAAUGUUGGGUUAAGUCCCGCAACGAGCGCAACCCUUAUCCUUUGUUGCCAGCGAUUCGGUCGGGAACUCAAAGGAGACUGCCGGUGAUAAACCGGAGGAAGGUGGGGAUGACGUCAAGUCAUCAUGGCCCUUACGAGUAGGGCUACACACGUGCUACAAUGGCGUAUACAAAGAGAAGCGAACUCGCGAGAGCAAGCGGACCUCAUAAAGUACGUCGUAGUCCGGAUUGGAGUCUGCAACUCGACUCCAUGAAGUCGGAAUCGCUAGUAAUCGUAGAUCAGAAUGCUACGGUGAAUACGUUCCCGGGCCUUGCACUCACCGCCCGUCA
rnacentral:rRNA from 1 species